GACGAACGCUGGCGGCGUGCCUAACACAUGCAAGUCGAACGGAAACGCCCUGCUUUCGUGGGCUUACCGAGUGGCGAACGGGUGAGUAACACGUGUGUAACCUGACCUUGACUUUGGGAUAACUUCAGGAAACUGGGGCUAAUACCGGAUAGCAGCUCCCGCUGCAGGGUGGGGGUUGGAAAGUUUCGGCGGUUGGGGAUGGAUGCGCGGCUUAUCAGCUAGCUGGUUGGGUAGUGGCAUACCAAGGCUUUGACGGGUAGCCGGCCUGAGUGGGUGACCGGGCACAAUGGGACUGCGGUACGGACCAGUGUGGUACGGGAGGCAACAGGGGGGAAUAUUGCACAAUGGGCGGAAGUCUGAUGCAGCGGCGCCGGGUGCGGGGUGACGGCCUUCGGGUUGUAAACCGCUGUCGCCUGUGACGAAGCGUGAGUGACGGUAAUGGGUAAAGAAGCACCGGCUAACUACGUG
rnacentral:rRNA from 1 species